rnacentral:lncRNA from 1 species
GUUGAGUGUUGAGUAUUGAGUGUUGAGUGAGAUGUGUGUGUGUGUGAUUGAGUGUUGAGUGAGAAACAAAAAUUUCUAGCAAAAUUUACGUACAAAGGAAUAAUUAUGUUAAGUUUUAAGGGUUUAUCGGUGGAAUAACCAAAAAGAAAAGGAAAUUAGCUUUUAGAGAGAAGGGAAGAGAGAGAUAGCAAAAAAAAAGAGAGAGAGUGAGAUUUUGGUUAGAUAGUGAAUUAUGUUUUUUUUUUGUUAUUGAGCCUAAUUUCUCAAGUUUAGUUUUAAUUGGUAAAAAAAAAGAUAUUUACAAAAAAAAACAGUUUUAUUUCUCACCAACUUUCAUUAUUAUAAUUUUUGGCCUUUUGGCUUUUAUGUAUAAUAUUGUUGAACCUAGAGACAUUGAAACUUUCCCGCGGAUUAGAAGCUCUGAGGUAGUGUUGGGGUAUAUGUUAAUUUACAAGAGUUACUUCUUUUUUCUAGAAAAAAGCUCUGAGGUAAGUGUUGGAGUAUAUAUGUCGCUAGAAAAAUAACGACGUCUAAUGGCAGGAUGGGAAAUUUGCCCCUAACCAUACAAAAAAUAUAAAUACACAAUCUAACCAAAAACAUUCUCUCUCUUCUCAUUUUUCUUUUUAUCUCUUUCUUAUACUUCUUACUACAAAUCUAAUUAUUUUUUUCUUGUUAUUUAGAAAAUAAGUCAUGAUAGGAUUGGUUGGUUUUAUGUACUCUUGCUAUCACAGUUUUCGGGUUGUUGUAAAUGAAGUAUUGGAGAAAUACUUCUGUUAUCAUUACUGUCGACCAGAAGGUCCAUAUAUGUACAAGGUAUUAAACCGUCAUAAGGUCAUGUUUAUCCUAACAAGAUAAGAAUAAGGAUAAACACUAUGUUACAGAUAUACAUGGAAUAUAUACUAGAUAAACACAUAGUCUCUGGUUGUCUUUAUCAUGUCCCGGAUUGGGCCUGCAGUACGGGCUGGUCCAUGGUCGAUCAUCAUUUGGUUUAUAACACUCCCCCUUGAUCGACACAUCCGGUACAGGUUCGUUGCAUGCUUAAUGUUGCCUCAUUAAAACCUCUCCUGAAAAACCCCAAAACCAAUGUGGCAAAAUGGGAAACCAAGGACAGGAAAAAGAGUACAACACAUGAACUCCCCCAGAUGAAUGCAUCACUGUAGUAGACGCAUUCCCAUCUGGUAUCCGAGUCUUCUUGAACGUUGAAGUUGCCUAUGACUUGGUGAAGAUGAUCAGCUGGAUUCUCCUUGAAUGAACUUGUAAGUCUUGGACGUUGGUAUGUCUUUUGGAACUCCAUUAAGAUGUGGUCAGGAUGUACAUCUUUGCUGCUGAUCACUCCAUGUCUUGGUUGAACUGAUGGUGCUUCAAACGGUGCUCGGAUGGACUUUAUAAUCUGCAAUAAAACUUUACUUGCAGGUCCUUUUUCAUGUCCCACGGAUUCUCUUUGGUUAUAUGGCUUUCCCAAAACGUGGACAUUCAAUAUAUAUUGAGUCAUAGACCCAGAACACAUACGAACAACUUUACUUCAUAUCUUUCGUUCAUUCGGACUUAUAUCUCUUCGUAUGUGCCAAUGGCUUUAUCCAUUGUAACCAAUCAUUCUUUAUUUUCUUUUGUCGAUCCAUGUUGAGCUAUAGACCUUGUCUAUAUUCGUUCAUAAUCAUGAGUGUCUAAGGUCAUACCAUCAAUAAUUAUUUGCUGCAAUGAAACUCAUCACACAAUGAAUUCGCAGUCAUACACUCAUGUCCUUUGUACAUGGUUAUCGAUCUUUUCUUGCUUUAGCAAUGCUUAUAAUCAUUAAGCCACGACCAGACAUCCUUCUGGUCACUAUCCUGGUUUAUGGUUCUCACUUAGACGUGCUGACUUAAUCACACACACACACACGGCUAUGAUUUUUCUACAGACUUUCCAUAUGUAAAACAUAGCCUGUUUAAUCAAUCGAUAACUUGUAUUAUUGAACCUUUGAACCAUUAAACCUUUUUCUCUUAGUUGGUCUUUAUUAUGAUCACAAGGAAUUAUAAUAUUUUAUGUAUGGACUGACUGCACUAAGUAAAUACUUAGUCUUUCAUAUUACUUACAGCUGCUGUAUAUUACAAUCUAUAAACAACUUAGGAACAAAGCUUGUUCUAUGAGAAUUUCUUUCUCAUAUUUCUAUGGUACGUUGAUACCUUUAUCCAGUGAUCCAUUUGCUGCUUACUACACCAUUAUUUCUUAAUUAAAUAUCCAGACAAAAUCAAACUUGAUUUUCCGUAGUAGCAUCCACCAUAUAGGAGCAUAUCUCUUAGAAUGGGAUGUAGGAUUACUAGAGGAUUAUGUUCAGCCUGGAGACAUACCACUCAUCCGUAGUAUGGCCAUAAGCUCUAGUCAUUGCCGUGAUACAUUCUGCUGGAGUUACACGAGAAAUGGACAGUAUACGGUAAAUCUGGAUACUGGGUUGCUCAAAAUCUAUUGAAGCCAGAAGAGGAAAAGAUAGUGCUGGAACCAAGUAUCACAAAGCUUCAAGCCUUUGCUUGGAAGCUGAAAGCGCCAAGGAAGAUGUGCCAUCUUAUUUGGCAAUUGAUAACGAGAUAAUCCCAAGUACUACAAUCUUUUAUGAGCUCUUAUGUAUGUAAAUACAUCUUUGGUGUUAACACUAUUUAUCUUUAGUUUCAUACUGUUCCAGACAUGAUCUAAUUAGAUUUUGAAAUAUUAUUAUCCAAGACCUUUAUACCUUGCAGUUUGGCGUCCCAAACUACAUGGUCUGGUACCUUAGAUGUGUGGUUGCGCAACCUUAUUUCUCUGUCUGAACUGGUUUCUCUUAUGAACUCGGAUUUGUACGAUUAUGGGCACCUUUCAUUACUUUCCGAGGUUCCUUAUUAUUUGGAACUUAUUUGUCUAUCUCUAAUAGACAUUGUAGCAACUUGAUUGUGUCAGCUGGUAUGACAUAGUCUUUUUUUUCUUUUCGGGUCAGUGUGUCUGGCAUAUAUUUCUGCUAGCUUUUAUAUCUUUUGAUCAUAUUCUUUUAGAACGUCUAGAUCAUAAUCUUUGGUCUGAGGAUCUUGCCAAGACAACUAUGGUUGAUACCAUUAUAUUUCUCUUUUACUCUUUACUCUUUAUCAGCCUGAUAACUUUCUCCUUUCAAAGUUGGAUAAUCAGAUUACUAUCUUUUGUAAUCUGUGUUCUUGGCCACUUGAUUAAAUCAUCCAUGUUUGGCACAAGAUACAUUAUAGUUUCGUGGAGGAAGUCUUAUUUAUCUAAUAUAUAUUCCCAAUCCUCAUCUGAGGUUCCAUCUUAAAUGGCACACAUAUAUGUGGUGGAAUAUUCGUAUUUUCUUAAGAUGGUUUGUGUAUAUGUCUGGUUUAUGACCCUUAAUCAUUCAGAGGUGGGAAUGUCUAUGCUUACAUGUAUGGCCUGAUGUAAAUCAAUAUUUAUAUACAUAAUGUCCUUAAGCUUUAGGCUGGACGUGGGUGAUGUACCAUUAGUGAGGGCUUUAAAGCUUUCCAGCCGUGUAUAUUAUGGUUGUAAACCAUGGAAUCCGAAUUUAUGAUAUGAUCAUGGACUGUGGGUUUUAGUCCUCUCUCCCCCUCAUGAACAUACUCAUAAUUUCGUAGUGCUUAGGACAGUGGAGCCUUAAUUAUUUUAGUGAUUUUCCCUUUUGUGUACUUAUAACACAUUGUGAGAUUUUAUGGGAUCACUUUUGUGCCUUAAUUAAUUUUUCAUCAUGUUUUGGAUCAAGAUGGCUAAUCUGGUCAUGCCAUAAGUGUUUAUUUCGUGGUGAACCAUACUGGUUACCAUGGCUUUAUGCCUCUUUCAUACUGAUCCUUAGCAUAGAAUAAAUCAGUAGAAAAUAUGGGUAUAGGCAUUCAUAAUGCUUUUAGGCGAUUUUUCAAAAAUCUGAAAGGAAUCGUAUUUUCUUUGCUCACUGGUUCAAUGUAGAAUGUUAUAAAUCUUUAUAACUCAAUGGGUCUGAAUAAUGUCGUGUCUUUUGCCAUUGUCAGUACCAAUUAA